rnacentral:lncRNA from 1 species
GUUUCGUAUUUCUGGGGCGUUUAGUUGUGUUGUUAUAGUCACGAUGCAUUGUUGUGAGUUUUGUGGGUCCGGAUUGUGGUUUUGUGGUGUGGUUGUGUUGUUACAACCGGGAGGCAAGGCUUUUGCGUUGUGUUGUCAAGUUUUAUAUUUCUGGGGUGUUUAGUUGUGUGCCAAGUUUCAUAUUUCUGGGGCAUUUAGUUGUGUUGUUAUAGUCACGAUGCGUUGUUGUGAGUUUUAUGGGUCCGGAUUGUGGUUUUGUGGUGUGGGAUUGUGGUUUUGUGGUGUGGCUGUGUUGUUGUAACCUGGAGGCAAGCCUUUUGCAUUGUGUUGCCAAGUUUUGUAUUUCUGGGAUGUUUAGUUUUGUUGUUAUAGUCACUGCGCAAACAACUUUAUCAUUUUAUAUAUAUAGAUUUGGCAACAUAAACUGUGUUGAUGUUUUAGGCCUGACCAUGUCUUCUGUCUUAGGUACAAGCUGACACAAUGGAAUAUAAUGCUUGUAUUUGUGACCUUGUUUAAAAAAUAAACAUUCCUCCAAAUAUGAAAAAACACCCACACAUGUAUGAACAUUCUUGUAAACUUACCAAAUGGGGCAAAACCCUUUAAAUGGGAGAAUGAAAAAACUGAAGAUGGAUAUUCCUAUACAAUGCACCCCAGUCCAAAGUUGCCCCUUCUUCAGCUCCAUUCUGAAGAAGAACAUUGAUUUUAGAACACCAAUCUUGGAUCUCACUUUUUUCACGAGGCCUCAAACAUAUUUACAAAGCCAAAACCCACUGGAAGGGGUGGGUUAAGGAACAGGUGUCUCCUCACCAUCUUUGUCUGG